rnacentral:rRNA from 1 species
AGGAGCUUGCUCCUGGAUUCAGCGGCGGACGGGUGAGUAAUGCCUAGGAAUCUGCCUGGUAGUGGGGGACAACGUUUCGAAAGGAACGCUAAUACCGCAUACGUCCUACGGGAGAAAGCAGGGGACCUUCGGGCCUUGCGCUAUCAGAUGAGCCUAGGUCGGAUUAGCUAGUUGGUGAGGUAAUGGCUCACCAAGGCGACGAUCCGUAACUGGUCUGAGAGGAUGAUCAGUCACACUGGAACUGAGACACGGUCCAGACUCCUACGGGAGGCAGCAGUGGGGAAUAUUGGACAAUGGGCGAAAGCCUGAUCCAGCCAUGCCGCGUGUGUGAAGAAGGUCUUCGGAUUGUAAAGCACUUUAAGUUGGGAGGAAGGGUUGUAGAUUAAUACUCUGCAAUUUUGACGUUACCGACAGAAUAAGCACCGGCUAACUCUGUGCCAGCAGCCGCGGUAAUACAGAGGGUGCAAGCGUUAAUCGGAAUUACUGGGCGUAAAGCGCGCGUAGGUGGUUUGUUAAGUUGGAUGUGAAAUCCCCGGGCU